rnacentral:rRNA from 1 species
UGCAAGUCGAGCGAGAAAGGUUUUCGGACUGAGUAAAGCGGCGGACGGGUGAGUAACGCGUAGGAAUCUACCCAGUAGUGGGGGACAACUUAGGGAAACUUAAGCUAAUACCGCAUACGCCCUGAGGGGGAAAGCGGGGGAUCUUCGGACCUCGCGCUAUUGGAAGAGCCUGCGUUAGAUUAGCUAGUUGGUGGGGUAAAGGCUCACCAAGGCGACGAUCUAUAGCUGGUCUGAGAGGAUGAUCAGCCACACUGGGACUGAGACACGGCCCAGACUCCUACGGGAGGCAGCAGUGGGGAAUAUUGCGCAAUGGGCGAAAGCCUGACGCAGCCAUGCCGCGUGUGUGAAGAAGGCCUUAGGGUUGUAAAGCACUUUCAAUUGGGAGGAAGGGUUUAACGUUAAUAGCGUUGAAUCUUGACGUUACCUUUAGAAGAAGCACCGGCUAGCUCCGUGCCAGCAGCCGCGGUAAUACGGAGGGUGCGAGCGUUAAUCGGAAUUACUGGGCGUAAAGCGCGCGUAGGCGGUUUGUUAAGUCGGAUGUGAAAUCCCCGGGCUCAACCUGGGAACUGCACCCGAUACUGGCCGACUUGAGUGCGAGAGAGGGAGGUAGAAUUCCAUGUGUAGCGGUGAAAUGCGUAGAUAUAUGGAGGAAUACCGGUGGCGAAGGCGGCCUCCUGGCUCGACACUGACGCUGAGGUGCGAAAGCGUGGGUAGCAAACAGGAUUAGAUACCCUGGUAGUCCACGCCGUAAACGAUGUCUACUAGCCGUUGGGGAACUUGAUUCUUUAGUGGCGCAGCUAACGCACUAAGUAGACCGCCUGGGGGAGUACGGCCGCAAGGUUAAAACUCAAAUGAAUUGACGGGGGCCCGCACAAGCGGUGGA